rnacentral:rRNA from 1 species
AUUGAACGCUGGCGGCAGGCUUAACACAUGCAAGUCGAACGAGUGGCGGACGGGUGAGUAAUGCUUGGGAAUCUAGCUUAUGUAGGGGGAUAACUACGGGCAACAGUAGCUAAUACCGCAUACCAUAGGAUGAGCCCAUGUGGGAUUAGGUAGUUAUAGAGGUAAAGGCUCACCAAGCCGACGAUCUCUAGCUGGUCUGAGAGGAUGACCAUCCACACUGGUACUGAGACACGGUCCAGACUCCUACGUGAGGCAGCAGUGGGGAAUAUUGCGCAAUGGCGGCAAGCCUGAUGCAGCCAUGCCGUGUGUAUGAAGAAGGCAUUAGGGUUGUAAAGUACUUUCAGCGGGGAGGCGUUACCCGCAGAAGAAGCACCGGCUAACUCCGUGCCAGCAGCCGCGGUAAUAC